GCCUCCGUUUCUUCUCUUUUGUUUUACCUAAAAACGUUGUAAAGUUUUGUUGAUUGUUUGUGCUCUUACAGCUGUGACUCAUUAUUGUGAUUGCAUAAAUAAAAAGGGGGGUGGUGAUGCCGCAACCAUCCUCUGCUAUCCCACUGAAUGCUGUCUACAUGGUGUUUGUCCGUUCCUCCGUUCAAGUAACGGUUGGUUCCCCUGUCUGCAAUGGCUGCGUCAACAAACGUUAAGAGGAUGCAGUGCACCAGGCCGGUGAUUGAUGUGAAUCUAAGGGUGACCCCUGACCCCGACAACCCUCAGGGAGGCUGCAGCUGGACGGCUCACCUCCUGCAGGAGUAAAACUUAACGACUCUCAGAAAUCUGAAAUAACGCCGCCGCCGCUGGAUGGUGCAACGCAACGUCAAACACAUCAGCAGAAGAAUCCAAGAGGUGUUCAUACUUGGUGUCUAAAUGAAAACGAAGCCCAGAUGCGAAUAAAAGAAACGGGUCAGCAUAUCGCUCGUUUCGGCUGUGAGUG